AAGCUCAAAUUUGAAAUCUGGUACCUUCGGUGCCCGAGUUGUAAUUUGGAGAGGGCAACUUUGGGGCCGUUCCUUGUCUAUGUUCCUUGGAACAGGACGUCAUAGAGGGUGAGAAUCCCGUGUGGCGAGGAGUGCGGUUCUUUGUAAAGUGCCUUCGAAGAGUCGAGUUGUUUGGGAAUGCAGCUCUAAGUGGGUGGUAAAUUCCAUCUAAAGCUAAAUAUUGGCGAGAGACCGAUAGCGAACAAGUACAGUGAUGGAAAGAUGAAAAGAACUUUGAAAAGAGAGUGAAAAAGUACGUGAAAUUGUUGAAAGGGAAGGGCAUUUGAUCAGACAUGGUGUUUUGUGCCCUCUGCUCCUUGUGGGUGGGGGAAUCUCGCAUUUCACUGGGCCAGCAUCAGUUUUGGUGGCAGGAUAAAUCCAUAGGAAUGUAGCUUGCCUCGGUAAGUAUUAUAGCCUGUGGGAAUACUGCCAGCUGGGACUGAGGACUGCGACGUAAGUCAAGGAUGCUGGCAUAAUGGUUAUAUGCCGC
rnacentral:rRNA from 1 species